rnacentral:lncRNA from 1 species
CCCAAGCCCAAUGUCUUUAGUGUAGUCUUUCUUUUAUAUACUGCGUAAAUGUGUUAGGUAUGGGGACUUCUAGUCCUAUAUAUAGCCAUGCCUACACUUAUUGUACUUACUUUUGAGCUUAAUGAGAAUUUAGUUUUCUAAAUAAGAAAAUAAUUCUCCCUUGAAAGUCAAGCUAAAGAGUCCAAGGGACCUCCUCUAGCCACCUUCCAGCACACUACCUCAUUUUUUCAUUUGUCACUUUAUCAUUGUGCUGUCUCUCUCCUACACUACGUCACUCCUCCAUAGGAGCCAAUCCUCUCACGCCACUCGUUCCACUCCAAAGCUUCCGCGUGGCUCUACUCAUUACUGCCACACCAAAGUCUCCAUUCCAUGGUCAUUUUCGCAUUUCAUCAUCAGCCUCAUUCGAAGCCACAGAUCUCUCUCUGCUAGGGUUUCUCCCAACUCAACACAGAGUACCAUCUUCAACCCAUGAAUCACGAUCUUUCCACCGGUAAAUCUGUUUCUCUUGCCUAGAUCUACCUUAUCCUCACCAUUUCCGUUCGAACCACCGGUUGUUCUCCGGUUUCCAUCAUCUUCACCGAUAAAAGCCACAUUCCACCGAUUAAUACUCCUUUGCCAACAUUUCCUUCCGAUUAAAACCUUUCUUACUCCAAACCCUAGCCUUUCCUUCGGUCAAAUCGCACAAACCUAGGGUUUUGUUCUUCCGCUGCAUCUUUUGUCAUAUUCUGAGCUCGAUCCGCACCAGAUCUAUGGCUCUUCGCUGAUCUGUCUCGGAGCGUCUCGUAUCAAGUGGUAUUCAGAGCAUCAGGUUGUGUCCACACUUCAAAGCUAAGUAUAUUGCUUCUCAGAUUUUCGAUUCUGUCUUGUUUCUUUAUCUGUUCGUGUUGAUUCAUAUUGUUUUGUCUCAUUUGAUUCUGAGUCGUGUGUUUUUCCAUUUUCGCAUUGUUUAUUACAUUCCUAUGAUGUCUUGAAUUGUUCUUCUGAUUUGAGUGUGUCUCUUCUUGAUCUGUUGAUUUCUCUGUUUAGGUUUCCAAAUUAACUGAUUUUGUGCAUCUGUUUGUAUCGUCCUGAGUUUGAGUCAUUAUCUUUGAGUAUUAUUUUCAUCUUUAUUCGGUGAAUCAUUUGCUUUGAGUCAUUUUAUUUUCUAAAUCAAUUUCUGUAAUGUCUUAGUCAUGUUGUUUGUUUGAUUUGUCAUAUGAAUCUGAGUUUAACCUUUGUAAUUGUCAAGUCUUGAGUUAAGUUUGGUCUCUGAUCUUAAUCAUUAAGAUCCGUGACAAUCAAUUGAAUGAGCUCAAUUUCUGUGGCAACAUUGGAUGAAGUAACAUGUUUCUUGAAUUUGUUUAAUCAGUUUCACCGAUACUAAAUGUGCUUUGAGAGUCUUGGUGUCAUUCAUACUUGGUUUUAGACUCUUUGCCAAGUUCUGGUUCAAUUUUUCCAGUAUAGUCAUUGAUGUUGUCUCUUUGGCAUCUACUGUGGUUUGAGAUUCUGCAGAAUUGCAUUGAAAUUGAUUGCAACAGUGUUUGAAUUUCUGCUUCAAAAUUGGAUACUAGAGUUGCUUGUUGAGAUUUGCAUAUGAACUGAAUUUGUCAAAUUGUUAUAGAUAUUGAAUUUGCUAAGAACCACUGGUUAAACAAGUUUAAAUCCAUCAACCAAACAUGUUUGUGCAAAGUUAAAGUGGAUAUAAACUGUUUUGGGCAUUUUCACUAUCUUACUCAUCCAAUUUUAAGCAUAUUUUGGUUCAAUUCAGCUACUGCAGCAGAAGUGAUACUGAUAUGAAAACUGAUUUGGUGCAUUGAGCUUUAUUUGCACGUUGUAGCAAAAGCUUGAGUCCAUACAAAAGAAUUAAAACAUUCAAAAGAAUUGGAAUGAAAAAUUAAAAACCUAAUUGGACCAGUGCAACACGUUUUAGUAAUCUGCAAAAUGCAAAAUCAAAAUUUCUACACCAAACUGCAUUCUCAGGAAGGCAUUUCCAGAAACAGAUUAUCAUUUCUGCAUUGCACAUCUGGUCUGAACUUCUUUUUGAUUUGUGAUUUUUUUCUUGCUCUGUUAAUCUGCUCUAGAACUUUCCUUAGGAUCAAUUUGAGUGCCAACUGUUCUAAAUAGCUUGUUUUUAUUUGCUUGUNUUCUUGGCUGUCUUGGUUGUGUCUACAUCAAGUAAACUCUGAUCAGCUGUUCUUAAUUUGAGCUUUUCCUUGUUUUUAUGAUCUAAUCUAAAGUCUGAUCUANAGCCUCUUGAAUUGGAUUGNUGUCCUGUUCUGUCUUGCCUGCCUUUACUUAGCAUAGCCAAUNUGGUUUGAGAAGCAUGUUCACUCUUUGGUUUCUGGAAAUUUGGAAAGAGGUUUGUGUGCUUGGUAGAAUCUUAGGUGGUGGUGGUCUGAAAGACUAUCCAACCUUGUACUGACAAGGGAGAAUUUCCCUUCCACACCUUUACAUUUUUUGAGUGUUUUGAGCUUCCAGAGAUAGAUUUGAUUUUUUUUGUGAGCUUUGUGUGGCUACCUCUAAAGCCAAAUAUCUUGUUGAGAGUGUGUUCUUAUCUCAGUUCUGAAUCUGAAUUGUACUCACCAAUUAUAUUUGUGCAGUUUUUGUCUUGAUUGUCAUUCACAGGUGGUGCUUAGUAGAAAGUGAGUUACAACUAGCUGCAGUAGUGUAGAAGUUAAGCAAGGGAUCUCAUGAGAAUAGACUUUGGGAGUGUUGAACAAAAAGGGAGUAUUUCAUCUUAAAUUGCCUCUGUUUUGUCCAAACUAUUUCUAUAUAUAGCAUGUCCUUGCUUAGCAUUAUUUGAAGUGUUGAUUCUGAUAUGACAGUUUAU